GGCGCAGGCGCAGUAGACAUAUCCGCGCGCUUCAAAGGGUAUAAAUACGGACGCCUUGUGUUCCCCCGGCCUUUUAGAGGGAGAGCUUCGCUCAGCCUUCAUGGUGUCUGCCUUCAAUCAAGAUUCUAAAUAACUUGAUUUGGGAAAGAAGAGGAGCCACCUCACCAUUUUGGCAGUUAAUGCUUUUUGGGUUCCUCUAAAGUGAUGGCUGUUUUUGGAGGAUAAGUAGCUGGCUGCCCUUGGGAGUAAGGGAAAUUAAAUGCAAAUUCUGUCAUUCCCAGAUCUGUAUUAACUGGUAGACUAAUAGGAUGUUCCAUUGGCCACAUGGCCCAUUGAAAUUUAUGUCAUUACAGAAGGCACUGAGCAUUGGCAGCUUUUUUUUU